rfam:Rhodococcus triatomae strain DSM 44892 genome assembly, contig: Ga0116918_110
GUCGGUCCUCGGUAGUGGUUGCCGGAAGCCGAAACUCGCAUCGCAGGGCAGUGCCCCGGUGCGGGAGUAGAGCCUCCCGGCAACUUCGAUCGAUGGCCGCC